CAAGAGGAUCAGGUGAUCGCGCCCGCUCUGGACCCCGGUCCAGGGUGGGUGAGGAAAGUCCGCACACCACAGGGCACGGUGCUGGCUAACAGCCAGGCGGGGCGACCCGACGGCAGAGUGCAACAGAGAGGCAUAUUGCCCGCCCGGUAGCCGCUUGCGGCAGCCAGGCGGGUGAGGGUGAAACGGCGCGGUAAGAGCGCACCGGCGUCAUCGGUGACGAUGACGGCCAGGCAAACCCCACCGGGUGCAAGACCAAGCAGGCGCGAGAGGCGGCCCGUCUCAUUUGAGCGCCGGGUAGGUCGCGUGAGCGCGGCGGUAACGUCGCGCCCAGAUAGAUGAUCGCCACGACCGGCCCUCCGGGGCUGGCCGGACAGAAUGCGGCUUAUCGAACCUCUUGACCG
rnacentral:RNase_P_RNA from 1 species